rnacentral:rRNA from 1 species
CCUACGGGCGGCAGCAGUGAGGAAUAUUGGUCAAUGGACGCAAGUCUGAACCAGCCAUGCCGCGUGCAGGAAGACGGCUCUAUGAGUUGUAAACUGCUUUUGUACGAGGGUAAACGCAGAUACGAGUAUCUGUCUGAAAGUAUCGUACGAAUGAGGAUCGGCUAACUCCGUGCCAGCAGCCGCGGUAAUACGGCGGAUUCAAGCGUUAUCCGGAUUUAUUGGGUUUAAAGGGUGCGUAGGCGGUCGGAUAAGUUAGAGGUGAACUCCCGGGGCUCAAAUUCGGAAUUGCCUCUGAUACUGUUCGACUAGAGAGUAGGUGCGGUAAGCGGAAUGUAUGGUGUAGCGGUGAAAUGCUUAGAGAUCAUACAGAACACCGGUUGCGAAGGCAGCUUACCAAGUUACUUCUGACGUUGAGGCACGAAAGCGUGGGGAGCAAACAGGAUUAGAUACCCCAGUAGUC